CCUACGGGAGGCAGCAGUGAGGAAUAUUGGGCAAUGGGCGCAAGCCUGAACCAGCCAAGGCGCGGGAGGGAAGACGGCCCGACGGGUUGUAAACCGCGUUUGCCGGGGAGCAAGCCUGAGCACGUGUGCCCAGGCGGAGAGGACCCGGAGAAAAAGCAACGGCUAACUCCGUGCCAGCAGCCGCGGUAAUACGGAGGAUGCGAGCGUUAGCCGGAUUUAUUGGGUUGAAAGGGUGCGCAGGGGGGCUGUUAAGCCGGCGGUAAAAAUUCAGGGCUCAACCCUGGCGCGCCGUUGAGACUGGCAGUCUUGAGUGGGCGAGAAGUAUGCGGAAUGCGUGGUGUAGCGGUGAAAUGCAUAGAUAUCACGCAGAACGCCGAUUGCGAAGGCAGCAUACCGGCGCCCAACUGACGCUGAGGCACGAAAGCGUGGGGAUCGAACAGGAUUAGAUACCCGUGUAGUC
rnacentral:rRNA from 1 species